CAUCUGGCUCCCUGGGCUGAAGUUACAAGGAGCUCCAAGGGUAGAAAUUGGAAGAUGAAAGGCGAGAGAUUAAGCUGAAAGGAACAGUGGGUGUUGUCAGAGAUUAAACUUGGAGACAUCCAGGGAUGCCAGCUCUGUAAGAAUCAUGCAGGUCACAUGGUCAGGUACCACAGUCCUCAUCAUUUUCACCUUGCUGCAGUUUGUCCAGUCGGAGUUGUCGGAGGGUCCUUUGGUUCCAGACACGGGGACUCAGGAGGGGACUAGCAAUAGGGCCACAGAGGCCCCCACUGCAGAACACGAUGACGACAACUCU